AAUGCAAAAGGUGGUAAUACAGAGACCUAAAUAAUGGGUGACGUUGACUGCAACGCAAGGGGUGGAAAUGUAGACUGCAACGCAAGGGGUGAAAAUAGAGAGUGGUUGAGAUUAUGAGAAAUGUCGAAGUGGUUGCGAACCUAUUGUACACUACAGGGACACAGUCUUGGAGGGUGUGAAGUGCACGCAGACAUCACAAACUAAAGUUAUUUUCUGAAGUACUUGUCUUUCAUCGAAAAUUAAAUUACAUUGUACUAUUUUCUCUAUUUUAGAAUACUGUAUCAAUUGACAGAUUUGUGAAAUUCAGAAACUGUAUUGUAAUUUGGGGUACUGUAUGUACUAUUGUGAGAAUUUGUAUUUAAAAUGGUAUUGUUAUUUAUGUUAAAAAUUGAGGGCAUGAC